rnacentral:lncRNA from 1 species
AAAGGCUGUAUUUUUCAGUGUUUUAAAUAUUCAGAAUACUUCAGUCCAGUGAACAGUCAAGACCAGCAGAGAAGCUUUGACCAGGCAGGAGAUCCAGCCCUGAUGCCCUACUUGCCUUGCAACAGCUGGCUCUCAGCUGGAUUAAGGAAAACCUUGUGUUCCACCAGUGACUGUGAUGAUAAUGGGUGAUACAUGACAGAUGCUGAGCAGGAAAACAGAGCGGAGGCUAGGACGCCCUAAGCAGGGCAAGGAAUUAAUCCAGAAGGCCUGAGCAAAAACCAUCAUGAUGGAACAUGAACAAUGCCCAUAUGGUUUUGUCCUCAUUGAAGCUUCCAUGGCGACAGAAAGAAGAAACAAAUUUGCUCAGUCUCACAGUGCACAAGUAUUGGAAUAGCUUUAAGCUUAAACCUUUGCUCCCUUCUUUUUCC